GCUGGGCAUGACGGCUCAUGCCUGUAAUCCCAGCACUUUGGGAGGCUGAGGCAAGUGGAUCACCUGAGGUCAGGAGUUCGAGACCAGCCUGGCCAACAUGGUGAAACCCUGUCUCUA
ensembl:misc_RNA Metazoa_SRP Metazoan signal recognition particle RNA